rnacentral:rRNA from 1 species
AGAGUUUGAUCAUGGCUCAGGAUGAACGCUGGCGGCGUGCCUAACACAUGCAAGUCGAACGGAGUGGAUUCUUCGGAAAACACUUAGUGGCGGACGGGUGAGUAACGCGUGGGUAAUCUGCCUUACACAGGGGGACAACAGUUGGAAACGACUGCUAAUACCGCAUAAGCCCACAGGAUCGCAUGAUCCGGUGAGAAAAGAUUCAUCGGUGUAAGAUGAGCCCGCGUUGGAUUAGCUAGUUGGCGGGGUAACGGCCCACCAAGGCGACGAUCCAUAGCCGACCUGAGAGGGUGAUCGGCCACAUUGGGACUGAGACACGGCCCAAACUCCUACGGGAGGCAGCAGUGGGGAAUAUUGCGCAAUGGGGGGAACCCUGACGCAGCAACGCCGCGUGAGUGAAGAAGUAUUUCGGUAUGUAAAGCUCUAUCAGCAGGGAAGAAGAUGACGGUACCUGCAGAAGAAGUCCCGGCUAACUACGUGCCAGCAGCCGCGGUAAUACGUAGGGGACAAGCGUUAUCCGGAUUUACUGGGUGUAAAGGGAGCGUAGGCGGCCAGCCAAGUCAGAAGUGAAAGCCCGCGGCUCAACUGCGGGACUGCUUUUGAAACUGGAGGGCUUGAGUACUGGAGGGGCAAGCGGAAUUCCUGGUGUAGCGGUGAAAUGCAUAGAUAUCAGGAAGAACACCGGAGGCGAAGGCGGCUUGCUGGACAGAAACUGACGCUGAGGCUCGAAGGCGUGGGGAGCAAACAGGAUUAGAUACCCUGGUAGUCCACGCGGUAAACGAUGAAUGCUAGGUAUUGGGUUCCAACGGGAUUCGGUGCCGCAGUUAACGCAAUAAGCAUUCCACCUGGGGAGUACGUUCGCAAGAAUGAAACUCAAAGGAAUUGACGGGGGACCCGCACAAGCGGUGGAGCAUGUGGUUUAAUUCGACGCAACGCGAAGAACCUUACCAGAUCUUGACAUCCUCCUGACCGGUCCUUAAUCGGACCCUUCCUUCGGGACAGGAGAGACAGGUGGUGCAUGGUUGUCGUCAGCUCGUGUCGUGAGAUGUUGGGUUAAGUCCCGCAACGAGCGCAACCCUUGCCCUCAGUAGCCAGCAGGUAAAGCUGGGCACUCUGGGGGGACAGCCGGAGACAAUCCGGAGGAAGGUGGGGAUGACGUCAAAUCAUCAUGCCCCUUACGAUCUGGGCUACACACGUGCUACAAUGGCGCUCAACAAAGAGAAGCGAAGGAGUGAUCCGGAGCGAAUCUCAAAAACAGCGUCUCAGUUCGGACUGUAGUCUGCAACCCGACUACACGAAGCCGGAAUCGCUAGUAAUCGCGAAUCAGCAUGUCGCGGUGAAUACGUUCCCGGGUCUUGUACACACCGCCCGUCACACCAUGGGAGUCGGUAACGCCCGAAGCCAGUGACCCAACCUUUAAGGAAGGAGCUGUCGAAGGCGGGACCGGUAACUGGGGUGAAGUCGUAACAAGGUAGCCGUUCGAGAACGAGCGGCUGGAUCACCUCCUU